UUCAAUAGCCGUGUUUCGAGUUCCUCCGGAACACCCGGGAUUUUUCGUAUUUAGCCACGCCGGUCACGUGAUAUGAGCAAAAUGUUCCACAGGGGUACUUCCGGUUAAUUUUGUUUACACUGGUAACAAAAUUGUUUUUGACAAAAUAUAGAUUUUGCGGCACAAACUGUCGCAAAUCAGAUAAAGGAUAGCAAGGGAUAUAUAUUUACUUGGGAAGAUGUCAAAGUUUGCCUUUUCCCAAACCCGGGAAAAGCGUUCACGCAGAGGAAACGGUGGCGUCAUUUGUGUAGAAAACCACGAGCAGCCGAAAUUGAGUGCGAAUAUUACAUUCCGUGAAAGCUGAACCAACAAAGAAACAUCAUUGUUCUAGCCAGUUUCCUUAUAUUAACUUUUAGGAAAACCAAGAGGUUGAUAACAAUGGCUGAUCUGCAUAUAAUGACUGCUAGUUAUUGGCUGGUAUGCAGUGAAAGGGAGCUAAAAAGGAGUAAAAAGUUCAUAUCAGCCAGGUAGUGUGGCUUAAAUAAACCAGUGUUAAGGAAUAUCCAGUAAUGGCAUGACAUCAUGAGAGUUUGGCAUACCGACAUUCAGAUGAUUAAUGAUGAAACUGAAGACCUCAAGUGAAAGGCAUGGAAAAUGAUCCUGUUCCCAUAUACCUGAAAAAGAGGAGGGAUGCCACAAUAUUGAUAAUAGACUUUUGUCAAUAUGUAUAAAAAAAAAAAAAAAAAAAAAAUAAAAAAAAAAUAAUAAUAAUAAUAAUGCUGAAAUUAUAAUUCAUGUAUUUGUUAAAAAUACUGUUCACUGUACAUACAUGUAUAUUUUUUUUAAACUUAUUUGGAAAUACAUGAAGUAAUUCAUAUUAAAACUGUGAAUGUA